rnacentral:rRNA from 1 species
AGCGAACGCUGGCGGCAUGCUUAACACAUGCAAGUCGCACGGUCGGGGUAACCCGACAGUGGCGGACGGGUGAGUAACACGUGGGUAACCUGCCCGGAAGUGGGGAAGUACCUCGGGGAAACUCGAGCUAAUACCGCAUAACAUCUUUAGGACGAUGGUCCUGACGAUCAAAGCGGGGUCGCAAGAUCUCGCGCUACCGGAUGGGCCCGCGCCUGAUUAGCUAGUUGGUGGGGUAACGGCGUCACCAAGGCUUCGAUCAGUAACCGGCCUGAGAGGGCGAUCGGUCACACCGGAACUGAGACACGGUCCGGACUCCUACGGGAGGCAGCAGUGGGGAUCUUGCGCAAUGGGCGAAAGCCUGACGCAGCAACGCCGCGUGGAGGA